rnacentral:tRNA from 1 species
UGGGGUGUAGCCAAGUGGUAAGGCAACGGACUUUGACUCCGUGAUCGCAGGUUCGAUCCCUGCCUCCCCAGCCA